rnacentral:rRNA from 1 species
CUACGGGACGCUCCAGCGGGGAAUAUUGCACAAUGGGCGCAAGCCUGAUGCAGCCAUGCCGCGUGUAUGAAGAAGGCCUUCGGGUUGUAAAGUACUUUCAGCGGGGAGGAAGGGAGUAAAGUUAAUACCUUUGCUCAUUGACGUUACCCGCAGAAGAAGCACCGGCUAACUCCGUGCCAGCAGCCGCGGUAAUACGGAGUGUGCAAGCGUUAAUCGGAAUUACUGGGCGUAAAGCGCACGCAGGCGGUUUGUUAAGUCAGAUGUGAAAUCCCCGGGCUCAACCUGGGAACUGCAUCUGAUACUGGCAAGCUUGAGUCUCGUAGAGGGGGGUAGAAUUCCAGGUGUAGCGGUGAAAUGCGUAGAGAUCUGGAGGAAUACCGGUGGCGAAGGCGGCCCCCUGGACGAAGACUGACGCUCAGGUGCGAAAGCGUGGGGAGCAAACAGGAUUAGAUACCCCCGUAGUC